UACGUAGGGCGCAAGCGUUGUCCGGAAUUAUUGGGCGUAAAGAGCUCGUAGGCGGCUUGUCGCGUCGGUUGUGAAAGCCCGGGGCUCAACUCCGGAUCUGCGGUGGGUACGGGCAGACUAGAGUGAUGUAGGGGAGACUGGAAUUCCUGGUGUAGCGGUGAAAUGCGUAGAGAUGUGGAGGAAUACCGAUGGCGAAGGCAGCCCCCUGGGCUAAUACUGACGCUCAUGCACGAAAGCGUGGGGAGCAAACAGG
rnacentral:rRNA from 1 species